AUCUCUUCAGAAUGGCACUGGGGAAACAAAAAGAUUGGUUGGCCGGGACCUUCAACAGUAUCAGAGUCAGGCUAAGUAACUCUUUCGAAAGUUGAAUGAACAGUCCCCUACCAGAUGUACCUUGGAAGCAGGAGCCAUGACUUUUCAGUACAUUAUUGAGCAGGGGGUGUGUGAUUUGGUUUUAUGUGAAGCUGCCUUCCCUAAGACGUUGGCUUUUGCCUACCUAGAAGAUUUGCACUCAGAAUUUGAUGAACAGCAUGGAAAGAAGGUGCCCACUGUGUCCCGACCCUAUUCCUUUAUUGAAUUUGGUACUUUCAUUCAGAAAACCAAGAAGCUCUACAUUGACAGUUGUGCUCGAAGAAACCUAGGCUCCAUCAACACUGAAUUGCAAGAUGUGCAGAGGAUCAUGGUGGCCAAUAUCGAAGAAGUGUUACAACGAGGAGAAGCACUCUCAGGUUUGGAUUCAAAGGCUAACAAUUUGUCCAGUCUGUCCAAGAAAUACCGCCAGGAUGCGAAGUACUUGAACAUGCAUUCCACUUAUGCCAAACUUGCAGCAGUAGCUGUAUUUUUCAUCAUGUUAAUAGUGUAUGUCCGAUUCUGGUGGCUGUGAAAUAAUGAAUACAGUCACUGGUAAGGGAGAACCUAGAACCCAGUUGUUCA
rnacentral:lncRNA from 1 species